rnacentral:lncRNA from 1 species
GGUGGAGCAUUGUCCUUCACCUAUUCCUGCAAAAGAAUCACGAGUAGAAACCAUGGAUUUUUCUCUCAAACGGUUAAGUCUUCAGAGAGUUGGGCUCUGAUACACAUUGUUAGAAAAUACGCUUAACGCUAGAGGGGGGUGAACAGUGUUAUAAUAAAAAUUAGCGUAAACUUGCGGAAUAUAAAAAUUGCAGGAAAGAAAUAAGUGCGAUAAGUAAAUAAAUAAGAACGAACGCACCGAUGUAUCCUGGUUCACCACAACCCGUGGCUAGUCCAGU